AUGAAUCAAGACAUGAACAAGUGUCGAGAAGUUACGGAUGCAGAAGUGCAACUGGUAUCGCCUCUAUUUUUUUUGUCUCAAAUCAACCGCAGAAAAAACUACUGGAUAAUCAUCUUGCCACUUUAUAAUUGGCUUACUGCUAUGAUCCUGGUGUUAUUUGCUAUGAGAAAAACGAGAGGUUCAAUGUGCGCCUCAUAUCAUCACAUCAAAUGGAAUAAUUGGAUAGGCUUAUGUAUCAUCAUAUCUGCACACAUAAUCUCUUUUAUGAUUGUUUACCUCUUCAGUCUACUAUUCUUAGAUGAUGAACUUCUGCUCUUUUAUGCCAAGUAG
rnacentral:rRNA from 1 species